rnacentral:RNase_P_RNA from 1 species
GGGCAAUCGCGAUUGCAAAGUUUCUUUGCUUUCGAGGAAAGUCCGGACUGCAUAGAGCGGGGAGUCCUUUUGAAAAGAAGGAUACUGCGGACCAUAAGCCGCAGGAAGGCCAGUGCAACAGAAAGAUACCGCCCGGAAUCUGAUUCCGGGUAAGGGUGAAAUGGUGGAGUAAGAGCCCACCGGGUGUUUGCGAAAGCAACGCCGCAGGGUAAACCCCUCCCGCAGCAAGACCAAAUAGAGGAUGAUGCCGUUGCUCGCGGCGCUAACAAUCCCGGGUUCUGGUCGCAUAGACAGAUGAUUGCCAUCCCGUUUCGACGGGAUACAAAAUCCGGCUUAUAG